rnacentral:tRNA from 1 species
UUUCUAUAGUUGAAAUACAACGAUGGUUUUUCAGAUCAUUAGUCAUGGUAGGAGCCCAUGUAGAAGUA